AUCCUUUUGUAGUUCAUAAGCAUGAUGAUUGGGUGUUCACACUCUUGUGUAACAUGGCCUCUGACAAACUUUGUUAUGACAUUAGCAUAUUACCCAUCUGACA